AUUCCAGCUCCAAUAGCGUAUAUUAAAGUUGUUGCAGUUAAAAAGCUCGUAGUCGGAUUUUGGCAUCACGCCGAACUGUCUGCCGAUUGGUAAGUACGGUUUGGCGGGUGCUUCCUUCCGGAGGCUCGUUCCCUUCUUCAUUGAAGGGUUCGUUGGUUCCGGGUCUUUUACUUUGAGAAAAUUAGAGUGUUCAAAGCAGGCCUAUGCUCUGAAUAGGUUAGCAUGGAAUAAUAGAAUAGGACUUUGGUUCUAUUCUGUUGGUUUCUAGGACCGAAGUAAUGAUUAAUAGGGACAGUUGGGGGCAUUAGUAUUUAAUUGUCAGAGGUGAAAUUCUUGGAUUUAUGAAAGACUAACUACUGCGAAAGCAUUUGCCAAGGAUGUUUUCAUUA
rnacentral:rRNA from 1 species